rnacentral:lncRNA from 1 species
UUUGGACUGAAGUGGCAUUUUCCACCAAACCAUAGGGACGAAAAUGGCAGUUAACUCUAUAAAUAAUAAUAACAACAUAUAGCACCGGUGGUGUAAGAGAAAUUUGGGUGCAAAAAAAGUAGGCGGGCGUGUUUAUGAUAUUGGGUAGAUGCUAGAUAUGUUCAGUUAGGUGUUAGUUCAUUAGUGCAGGUAGCCCAUUCAUAAGUUUAUUUUUUAAUUCAAUUAAGCUUAAAUGUACAAAAUAAUUAGUUAAUAUAUAAAAAUCACAUAUCUAGAAAAAAAACUAAAAUUUAUACUAAUUUUAUUGUCUGGUCUGAUUUUAGGUAUAAACCGUAAAUCAAACCGAAACCGAAGACUGGUUUUGAGGUUUCAAACCGAACCGUGAACACCCCUAAUUUGUUGUAUCAAAAUUUCUUGACCUUUGUAUUUAACAUUUUAAAUCCAACUUAUUUGAUAAAGAAGCGUAAAAACCGUGAUAGAGUGGGUUUGUGCUCGUGUAUUGCUAGAAUAAGCUGGACAAGAUCAUUGCAGAAACAAUCAUUGUAGGGGUAUGAUUUUUCUUUUUACUCUUAAGUGGAAUGCUCUUGCAACCUAUAGGUUUUAUAUAUGCCUAUAUACAAGAACAAGGGUUUGUUUGCAAACAAAUGUCAAGAUUGGCGUUAGGAAAGUAGAUUGUUUCUUUUUCAUUACUUUGUAGUUCAGCAGCUAUCUAAAUGCCAUUUGUAUUGAUGUUUGAGAUUCGAGAUGGGAUACGGUAAUAGCCCGUUCAAAAUUUGCAACUAUAAUACUUUUGUUAGCGUUGUGGUACAAUACAUUACUUCAUCCCUUUGACAACCCAUAGUGAUUUCCCACAUCAACCAAAUGCCACCCGAGUAAAUGGCUCGACGAGGGUGAUGUACAUGGUACUAUACUCGAUGGUGAUGUUGUAUGCUGUGUUAGGUAGUAGAUAUAUAUAUAUAUAUAUAGAUGAACAAUUAUAAGACUUUGAACACGCCGCCGCAACGCGCGGCGGGUCAAAAACUAGUCUUAUUAUUAUAAGUCAAACAAACACAUCCUCUAUAAGUUAUCAAGAACAUGUAUUCUACUUACAAUCGACUCGAUUUGAUUGUGAGUCAAUCAUAAAAGCAGGUUAGUUACUUCCUAUAUUCUUAUUAUUUGUUUCUACUGUUAUAAGAGUGUGUAGUUUUAUCUUUGUAUACUAAUCAAUUAUUAAAGAAUUGGACUUAUUAGUUAACGAUGGAUCUCUUUACACUUUGAUUAAAGAAUGGAUCUUCUUCUUCUUUAUUCAGUUACCUCAAUCACAUUUUCAAUGAUGUCUGGAGUCUAGAGGCAAAUACUAUCCAUGUAUAUUUUGAUUUUUCUUGAUAAAAAAUUUAUAUUUUAAUCUUCUUAUUGACUUGGGCUAAAUAAAUAGUUGUAUAGGUACAGUUUGAUGAUUUAAAUCACUUCAAUUACUCUAUUACAUACUUGAUAUAAGGAUAACUUGACUUAUGAGGUCAAUUAUAAUGUAGUGAUGCUUUGAAAAGUCCAACACUUUAUUAAAGACUCAAUAUAUCAACAAAUUGACUUCUUGAGUUAAAACAUAGCAUUAUGAUGUCUUAAAAAGUCAACGUGUCUAUUAUAAACUCAAUAUGGGUACAAUUUGACUACUGAAGUCAAACAUAAUGAAUAGAGGAUGUACUUGA